UACUUAGGGCGCAAGCGUUGGCCGGAAUUAUUGGGCGUAAAGAGCUCGUAGGCGGCUUGUCACGUCGGGUGUGAAAGCCCGGGGCUGAACCCCGGGUCUGCAGUCGAUACGGGCAGGCUAGAGUGUGGUAGGGGAGAUCGGAAUUCCUGGUGUAGCGGUGAAAUGCGCAGAUAUCAGGAGGAACACCGGUGGCGAAGGCGGAUCUCUGGGACAUUACCGACGCUGAGGCGCGAAAGCGAGGGGAGCGAACAGG
rnacentral:rRNA from 1 species